rnacentral:rRNA from 1 species
AACGAACGCUGGCGGCAUGCCUAACACAUGCAAGUCGAACGAGACCUUCGGGUCUAGAGGCGCACGGGUGCGUAACGCGUGGGAACCUGCCCUUAGGUUCGGAAUAACUCCCCGAAAGGGGUGCUAAUACCGGAUAAUGUCUUCGGACCAAAGAUUUAUCGCCUUUGGAUGGGCCCGCGUUGGAUUAGCUAGUUGGUAGGGUAAAAGCCUACCAAGGCGACGAUCCAUAGCUGGUCUGAGAGGAUGAUCAGCCACACUGGGACUGAGACACGGCCCAGACUCCUACGGGAAGCAGCAGUGGGGAAUAUUGGACAAUGGGCGAAAGCCUGAUCCAGCAAUGCCGCGUGAGUGAUGAAGGCCUUAGGGUUGUAAAGCUCUUUUACCCGGGAUGAUAAUGACAGUACCGGGAGAAUAAGCGCCGGCUAACUCCGUG